AGAUUGAACGCUGGCGGCAGGCCUAACACAUGCAAGUCGAGCGGUAGAGAGGUGCUUGCACCUCUUGAGAGCGGCGGACGGGUGAGUAAAGCCUAGGAAUCUGCCUGGUAGUGGGGGAUAACGCUCGGAAACGGACGCUAAUACCGCAUACGUCCUACGGGAGAAAGCAGGGGACCUUCGGGCCUUGCGCUAUCAGAUGAGCCUAGGUCGGAUUAGCUAGUUGGUGAGGUAAUGGCUCACCAAGGCGACGAUCCGUAACUGGUCUGAGAGGAUGAUCAGUCACACUGGAACUGAGACACGGUCCAGACUCCGUACGGGAGGCAG
rnacentral:rRNA from 1 species